CGAUAGCGUAUAUUAAAGUUGUUGCAGUUAAAAAGCUCGUAGUUGGAUUUGUGGCGUACGACGGGCUCCGGGCACUUGUUGUCUGAGUAGCUUGUCGUUGCCAUCCUUGGGUGGAACCUGUGUGGCAUUAGGUUGUCGUGCAGGGGAUGCCCAUCUUUUACUGUGAAAAAAUUAGAGUGUUCAAAGCAGGCUUAUGCCGUUGAAUAUAUUAGCAUGGAAUAAUAAGAUAGGACUUUGUCGCUAUUUUGUUGGUUUGCGCGAUAAGGUAAUGAUUAAUAGGGACAGUUGGGGGUAUUCGUAUUCCAUUGUCAGAGGUGAAAUUCUUGGAUUUUUGGAAGACGAACUACUGCGAAAGCAUUUACCAAGGAUGUUUUCAUUAA
rnacentral:rRNA from 1 species